UUGAUUGAUUGUUUAUUGCAUUGGGAUGAGAGAGUAACAAACAGGAACAAAGAAUUUCACUGCCAUGCUAAUGUGUAUGUGAUCAAUAAACUUGACUUGACUCCGGUUGAGAGUACAAGAACCAACACAGAGUUACGGUCUGCUGACAAUAGUAAAUCAUGAGUAACUUUGAUAAGUGCGGUUUCAGUGCUGUGGUAGGGUCUAAACCCUGAUUGGAAUAUUUCAAGAAUACCGUUAGAGCCAAGGUAUGCACUAAUUUGCUUAGUAACUGUUUUCUCUAAUAAUUUUGAAAAAGUCUAUAGUUUUCCAUUUUGUUAGGUUCUAGAUUUGGUUUCUCAGGUAAUUGCUUAAUAAUUUCCACUUGUAGUGAUUCAGGUACAUAUCCUGUUACUAGGGAUGUCUUAAUGAUUUUUAGCAUGUGCUGGCCUCAUACAGGAAGGAGUUCUUUAACCAAAUUUGUAGGAAUCGGAUCGAGCAGGUAUUCAGUUUUGAGGACAAGUAGUGUAGAUAGCUCAUCCAUGCUAAUGCAUGUAAAACAGUUUAGUGCUGCUGUCUAUAUAUCUUCCCGUUGUAACCAAGCACUGGGCUAUUUAUUUAUACUAGCAGGAGUAAUGUAUGAUGGAGGAGUUUGGAGAUCAGGGGCCGUAUGUAUCAAACAUCUUAAUAAUUACACUUAAGAAUCUCAUAAGAUCUUACUUUGGAGUGAAAGCAUUCUUUGCUUAAAGUGGUCGGUAAAACAUAGUUAUCAAGCAGCUCACACUUUCUCAUAGGUAAGUCUUGAGACAUUCUCAAGAGUAACGCAAAGUGUGUUUCUGCGACAAUCACAGGUGCUGCAAACAAAAGGAUUAAGAUGAUGUCAUCAAUUGCCGAAAUUGCUAAGAGACAAGAACCAAUCAGCUUUUGGGAAAUCUGUGUUCUAUUGAUGGGUCAACAGAAGUUUUCAAUAAAGUUAAACACACCCUCGUUAUGAAAGCUCCCUUGUUGUCUAAUGUUAGUCUAAGCAAAAUGGAUGUGAAAAGAAAGCCGAAUUGGACUGUGGAAGAAACGGUGAUGUUGGUAGAGGAGGUGGAGGCAAAGAAGGAAAUAAUUAAGGGAAAAUUUAGCCCCACACUUACAAGUCGACACAAAAAAGCAGUUUGGAAGCAGAUCGCAGACAGCAUUAAUGCGAGCUUCUCCUCCACCAUUCGAAGGAAUGCAAAAAGAAAUGGCACAAUGUUUUGUCCAAAGCGCAUCAGGAAAUCUCCGCUUUCAAGAAGGCAACAUCUGGCACUGGUUCGUAGUCUACGUUAUUUAUGUAUCUAUUUGUUUAUUUAUUUAUCUACUUUAUAUCUACUUACUUAUGAGACACGUUUGUUACAUAUUGCUGAUGAACAUUAAUGUAGUUAUAUUUUUUUAUUCAGGUGGAGGUCCUGUCCCCUAAACCUUUAAGUGCAGUGGCAGAAGUAGUUCUCCGCAUCCUCUGAGAAAAUAAUGCCACAAUCAGUGGAGUGGGCGACUGUCAGGAUGCUGCACUACUCAAACUGCAGACCGUAGUAAGUAAUGCAGAUGAAAACACCAUUUCGUCCCCUCAUGAGCUGCCUGUAGAGGAACUCCCAGCUGCAACAGCACUGCUUCGAGGCCCAUCUGGCAUUCCCUCUCCAGCAGCAGGCCCAGAGCCCCUGCUCCCUGAGCCCCCACUGGCCACUGCCACUCCACGGCUCAACCCGGACGAGGUGGAGGACAUGGAUGCACUGCAGAGAGAAGAGUUGCGGAUGAGCAUAAAAGUUUUAAGGCUGAAGGAGCAUUAUUAUGAACUAAAAAUAAAAAAGAUUAAAUCUUG